CCGCCUUCUCUCCUCCCCCAG
rnacentral:miRNA from 1 species